CUAGUGACCUCCCUUUUUAUCAUGGUAUGAGCAUAAUAUGGGAUUGUAGCAUGACCUGCAUCUGGCCAGUGAGUAGCUGGUUGUUUUGUGACAGGCCACAAACAAUCCUAACCCCAUAUAUUUGUAGAGGCGCUGAAAUUUAAUCAAUUUACUCAGCAAAAUUUUAUUCACUUGUUCAGUUAGCAAAACUGAUUACAAUCAUGAUUUGAUGGCUGUACUAGGUCAAGGCUACAAGUUUCAGUCCUGAAUGUUUGGAAACCUGGAGAGAAAAAGGGGGAAAACAUAAAUUUGAAAAAUUAUCCUACUUCUGAGACCUUCUCUAUGUUGAAAGGAAGUCCAUGAUUAUUUCUACUGGCAGAAGAAAGGUGCUUUGCACAGUGCAGAGCGCCAUGUGGGCCUUGGGUUCUGACCAUGGUGGAGCACAACAAGCAAGGGUGAAUGAAGCUGCCCUUCUGACAAGCAAGAAAAGAUGCCUCAUCCUCAAACAACUCUAUCCCACUCCUGAGAGGAAUGAGGAAUUAAGUAUUUUUCCCUCAGCUUGGUCUUUUUUCAUUACAAAUGAAGCCAGGUAUGACCUGGCUUUUCCUCUGAAGUGAUGUGGAAAUGGCCACUGCAGUCCAGCCCUGAGGGAGGACCUUGCUAGCUGAUUUGGCAUGUGGUUUUUGCAUUGAUGCUGACUCAGAUGGUUUACAAAGGUAAAUUCUGAACCUCAUCUACCUGCUACUGUUUCCUGAGAUGUUGGGGGAGUCAGAGCAUGGGAGCAGACCGUUUGUCAUCCCCAAAUCAAAAGAAAUAUUUGAAAAGUUCACUUGGAAACACAAAUGGUCAUUGGCUAGGGGUCAAAUCUGGGAGUCUCUUACACUUGAAUAACCCCAUAUGGAAUGGUAUUGGCAGGAGCCAGCACCCUCUAGGGCAUACAGACAUGCUGCAUUACGCAUCUGAAAUGCAUGGCCGUGCAUGAAGACUGCCAGAGUCAGCAAGAAACAGCUGCAAAAGAAGCACCAGAUUUUGAUGUAAUAUGUACUGCCUUCCAUUGGAUCAGAAACAAAAUCCGUGGGGAAGAGGGAGAGCUGUCCA
rnacentral:lncRNA from 1 species